rnacentral:rRNA from 1 species
CCUACGGGUGGCAGCAGUGGGGGAUAUUGCACAAUGGAGGAAACUCUGAUGCAGCGACGCCGCGUGAGGGAAGACGGUCUUCGGAUUGUACACCUCUUUCUUUGGGGACGAAAAUGACGGUACCCAAAGAGGAAGCUCCGGCUAACUACGUGCCAGCAGCCGCGGUAAUAGGUAGGGAGCGAGCGUUGUCCGGAAUUCCUGGGUGUAAAGGGAGCGUAGGCGGGGGAGAAAGUUGAAUGUUAAAUCUACCGGCUAAACUGGUAGCUGCGUUCAAAACUGUUUGUCUUGAGUGAAGUAGAGGCAGGCGGAAUUCCUGGUGUAGCGGUGAAAUGCGUAGAUAGUAGGAGGAACACCAGUGGCGAAGGCGGCCUGCUGGGCUUUAACUGACGCUGAGGCUCGAAAGCGUGGGGAGCAAACAGGAUUAGAUACCUUUGUAGUC